GACGGAGGGUGCAAGCGUUGUUCGGAAUUACUGGGCGUAAAGCGCGGGCAGGUGGCUCUUUAAGUCCUUUGUGAAAUUCCGGGGCUCAACUCCGGAUGUGCAUAGGAUACUGGAGAGCUAGAGACUGGUAGAGGCGAGCGGAAUUCCUGGUGUAGCGGUGGAAUGCGUAGAUAUCGGGAGGAACACCAGUGGCGAAGGCGGCUUUCUGGCCUGUUCUUGACGCUGAGGCGCGAAAGCUAGGGGAGCGAACGGG
rnacentral:rRNA from 1 species